CUACGGGGCGCAGCAGUGAGGAAUAUUGCACAAUGGGGGGAACCCUGAUGCAGCAACGCCGCGUGGAGGAUGACGCAUUUCGUUGUGUAAACUCCUUUUAUAUGUCAAGAAAAUGACGGUAGCAUAUGAAUAAGCACCGGCUAAGCUCCGUGCCAGCAGCCGCGGUAAUACGGAGGGUGCAAGCGUUACUCGGAAUCACUGGGCGGAAAGGACGCGUAGGCGGGUUGGAAAGUCAGGUGUGAAAUCCUACAGCUUAACUGUAGAACUGCACUUGAAACUUCUAAUCUAGAGUAUGGGAGGGGGAGAUGGAAUUAGUGGUGUAGGGGUAAAAUCCGUAGAUAUCACUAGGAAUACCUAAAGCGAAGGCGAUCUCCUGGAACAUUACUGACGCUAAGGCGUGAAAGCGUGGGGAGCAAACAGGAUUAGAUACCCUCGUAGUC
rnacentral:rRNA from 1 species